AGAGAGGAGAGUUCCCCAGCGCCGAGGGAGCCCAGUGCUGGAGAAAGGUAAGUGUUUUAACCACUUCAGCCCCAUUCAGCCCAGCGGGAGUGGGACUCUGAGGGUGGGGAGGACCUAAAGACCCUAUAGUGCCAGGAAAACGAGUUUGUUUUCCUGGCACUAUAGUGGUCCUUUAAUUAAAUCCAGAACUUUAUGAUAGAAGAAAGUAAAUCUCUUGGACCAAAUGUUCAUCAUUUACAAG